GUUCUGACACUGUGAUUGGUUACUGACUGAUUGUCGUAAUGAUAAUCAGCUGUUAUCAGUCCACUUUGACUUGUAAAGGAUUGAUUUGUCGCAAAGGGCGUUGUGGCUCCUGGAUGUACAAAGUUUUGAACAGGCAGACCCAUGGGGCAGCAGUCCUGCAAGCCUUGCAACUGCAUCCUGCAGAGUGAAGAGGAACCCAGACUGGUCGGUGACUGCUUGUGUAUGGAUGACAGUUGGGGAUAUUGCUGUGACCGCUGCUGUGACAUCUGCUGCCAGCUGUGUGUGAAUAUGUGCUCCGGCUUGUGCUCGGAGGACUGCAGCUACACCUUCUGUACUCUCUGCCUCAGCCUGGCGCAGAACUGCAUUUCACUUUUCACCACUCGACAAACCCAGUUGUCAGAGGCACAACUGACUGUGUGACAGAGCAAUGGGCUGCUGUUUCAGUGCCAGUGACAUGGAAGGAGAUGAGAUGCGCACCAACUCUGACAACAGCUGUAAGAGGUGUUGUCUACGGACCAGAGACUGCCUGAUGAGUGGCGAGUGUAGCCGAAGUCUUGAAAUUGCUAAUAUCUGUGCCAUGUGUGGCAUGUGCAUACGCAUGUGGAUGUAACCUAUUUCUGGACUCCGACAUUGAGCACAAGAUUGCCCCUGGCUGCCAUCCUGCCCUGAGAACCAAACAGGCAUUUCCUCCUCUCAGGUCACACCUAUGAGAUAACAGGGACUCUCAGCCCCACCAAAAGCUUGCCCUGUCAGUGACAAAUAACUUACAAGCACCAUGCUGCAUCACCCUUUAUGCUAUAGGGCUGCAUUUAUUUCUUGCGAAUCUGGAAGCUUGGAUUACAACAGGACAACUACACUAUCCAUGGCCAUGUAGUUCUACAGGACUCCUGACAAAGGGGACAGGAAUUCCCAGCAAAACAAGCAAAGUGCUGCAUUUUUUACAUCUGGAGGAUUAGACUCAAGCCUGAAAAUGGAUUCAUCCUGGCAAGCACAUGAUACUGCACAGAAUAGUUAGAUGUCAGUGAGAAUGAGAAGCAGUGAUUGAAUGUGAGGGAAAGCAGAGUGUGCAGUGUUGUAUAUUUGUCGAAGUUGACACUGUGUGUACGCUCUAUUCUCUUAUUUUUGAAGCACAAUUAUCUGAUCUCUUUUUUCUUUAUA